rnacentral:lncRNA from 1 species
GUCUGGUAAUGGCACUAGUGCAUCAUCUCCUAAAACUAAGGCAGGGUGUAACGGUAUGUGUAACUUGUAUAAGUUCUGCAAAAGGUUUCGUCUCUGUGUUUCGAUAUGUUUACACGUCAGUAAAAUGUGCAUCACUGGGCGGUUCCUGGCACUUCUCGCAUGUUGGUGGGUCUUCUUUUCUAAGUAAAAAAUUGUGUGUCAGGUGUGUGUGUCCAAUUCGUAGUCGGCA